GGUUCGAUUAUGGCUCAGAUUGAACGCUGGCGGACCGCCCACACAUGCAAGUCGGGCGACAGCACGGACUUCAGUCUGGUGGCGGUGGCGAACGGGUGAGUAUUGUGAACUGUUGCCUGGUGGCGGGGGAUAACUACGCGCAGCGUGACUAAUACCUUACGCCCUUCCAGGAAAGCAGGGACCUUCCGGGCCUCGCACUAUUAAGAGCGGCCGAUAUCGGUUGACUAGUUGGUGGAAGUAACGGCUCGCCAAGGCGACGAUCCGUAGCUGGUUUGCGAGAGACGACCAGCCACUGGGACUGAGACACGGCCCAGACUCCUGCAAGGGGAGGAGAGCAGCAGUGGGGAAUUUUGGACAAUGGGGAGCACAGUCAGCCAUCCCGCGUGUGCGAUGAAGGCCUUCGGGUUAUGCUUACUUUUGGCAGGAAAGAAACGGCGCGGGAUGUGCACGGCGGUGCCUGCAGAAUAAGCACCGGCUAACUACGUGCCAGCAGCCGCGGUAAUACGUAGGGUGCAAGCGUUAAUCGGAAUUACUGGGCGUAAAGCGUGCGCGAGCGGUUCGGAAAGAAGAUGUGAAAUCCCAGAACGCUUUGGAACUGCACAUUUUUAACUGCAAGCUGAAGUGUGUCAGAGAGGGAGGUGAAUUCCCGCGUGUAGCAGUGAAAUGCGUAGAUAUGCGGAAGACACCGAUGGCAAAGGCAGCCUCCUGGGAUAACACUGACGCUCAUGCACGAAAGCGUGAAGCAAACAGGAUUAGAUACCUGGUAGUCCACGCCCUAAACAGUGUCCAACUAGCUGUUGGGGCCUUGGGGCCUUGGUAAUGCCAGCUAACGCGUGGUUGACCGCCUGGGAAAUACGGUCGCAAGAUUAAAACUCAAGGAAUUGACGGGGACCCACAAGCGGUGGAUGUGGAUUAAAUUCGAUGCAACGCAGCUCCUUACCUACCCUUGACAUGUCUGGAAUCCGAGGUCGGGAGUGCUCGCAAGAGAACCGGAACACAGGUGCUGCAUGGCUGUCGUCAGCUCGUGUCGUGAGAUGUUGGGUUAAGUCGCAACGAGCGCAACCCUUGUCAUUGGUGCUACGAAGAGGCACUCUAAUGAGACUGCCGGUGACAAACCGGAGGAAGGUGGGGAUGACGUCAGGGCCUCAUGGCCUGCGGGUAGGGCUUCACACACGUCAUACAAUGGUCGGGACAGAGGGUCGCCAACCGCGAGGGGGAGCCAAUCCCAGAAGCCCAGUCAUGUCCGGAUCGCAGUGCGCAACUCGACUGCGUGAAGUCGGAAUCGCUAGUAAUCGCGGAUCAAUGUCGCGGUGAAUACGUUCCGGAAUGUGCACACACCGCCCGUCACACCAUGGGAGUGGGUUUGCCGAAGUAGUUAGCCUAACCCGUAAGGAGGGCGAUUACCACAGUAGGAUUCAUGACUGGGGUGAAGUCGUAAUAAGUAA
rnacentral:rRNA from 1 species